rnacentral:rRNA from 1 species
UACAGAGGUCCCGAGCGUUGUUCGGAUUCACUGGGCGUAAUGGGUGCGUAGGUGGCUUGAAAAGUUUGAUGUGAAAGCUCAGGGCUUAACCCUGAAAUGGCAUUGAAAACUGUCGGGCUGGAGGUUUGGAGGGGGGACUGGAAUUCUUGGUGUAGCAGUGAAAUGCGUAGAUAUCAAGAGGAACACCAGCGGCGAAGGCGAGUCCCUGGACAGAAACUGACACUGAGGCACGAAAGCUAGGGGAGCAAACAGG